rnacentral:lncRNA from 1 species
AAAUACCAUUCUAACUCUCUCAGUUUAAGAAUAUUGAACAGGGGCAGCUGUCAUACCCCAAAAUUUGCCCGUUAAUCUCGCAGGACAUUUUUCAAGGCACUCCAACUCAUUCUUCAAGGCAUUGAUCUUAAAGGAACAAAGACCCAGCACACAAGUGGCCAAAUCCAGAAAAUAACUCAAAAUGGCUUGCUCGCUAUGCGAGCAAAAUCCUUCGCUUAGCGAACCCUUCGCUGCACCACUCGCCUAGCGAAGCUUGCGAAUACCAGAAAUUUUGGGCUUCAUUCUGAGCCCAUUAGGUCACAAAAUUAUUAUAAAUAAUAGAGCUUCAUUCACAAACGGAGGACAGAAAUAGACGGACAGAAACCCUAGCAAGGAAAACACAGACAGCAAAACCCUGGAGGCUAACCAAGAGAAUUCAGAGCAAACCUAAAGGAAACCCCGAAGGAAACUCAUCUGCACAAAGGUUACCUCCGCCCAACUCAAUCCGGCACCAACCCUAAGAGUGAUUUGCCAAUUCAACGUUGCAAUUCAAUUGCAAACAGGUUUGCCUUACCACUACCGCUUUAUGCUCCCAAUUUACAUGUGACAUAAUGAUUGAAUUUAUAAAUAUAUCUUAGUUUUUGCAUGUGGAUUUAAGUAUGCAUGGAUGUCUUGAAUGUUUAACCAUAUAAUUUCUGCAUUGGAUGCCAUAGGGUUUGGAGCUCGCUGAAAUCGUACUGUUCUUAAACUCAAAACCCGCAGCCGUUCGCUAGCACAUCGCUAAGCGAACAUGUAGCGAGUGCUCGCUAAGCCUUCGCUAGGCGAGGCAGUAGCGAACAUGACAGUCGCUGAUUUUUUUUCCGUUCUGUUCUGUGCUUAUCUGACAUGUUCUAUCAUAGCUAUGUAUUAUUUGCCUGACAUUAUUACUGCUGCGAUUCCUUUGUUCGGUGCAACUAUUGAUUGCACCCCAUUUGGUAUUCUGACCUGUUUGCUGAAUUUUGUGAGGGCUCACAUACUCCCGAAGAAGGUAGCUUGCUAGGUAUUCCACUUUAUUUGUGGGAUACCCUUGUGGAGAUUCAUCCUAAUUACCUAAUUGAUUAUAAUGUGGAGAUUCAUCCUAAUUACCUAAUUGAUUAUAAAAUAUUGCCUUUGAAUAUGUGAUCUUGGACCUCUCUUUGUUGCCUUACGGUAUUACGGUAUUACGGUCAUGUCCCGCGAAUGUGGGGAUACACUUAGCAAAGACCCUUCGAUUAAAUCAUCAUGUCCCUAUAAGAUAAAUCAUAGUCCCUCGGAUGUUGCCUGCGAAUAUAUGAUUUUGUCCCUCGAUGACCCGUCGUUGUAGCCUACGGUUAAAUGAUGAUCGUCCCUUCGAAUGCUAAGGUAUCCUUACAAAUGUUGCCUUCAAUGACCAAUCGAUGACCCUACGAUGUCCCUUUACAUCCAAAGGAUAAGACUACUUACUUCUCAAUAGUAAGGACAGUUUUACCUUCAUAAGGAUAGGAAAUACCCAUAAAGACCUUGGGUAGGUAUAACUCUUAAAUGCUGACUCACAACUUAAAAUACUUUUCACACCUCACACUUUGCAAAACAUCUAUUAGAAAAUCACCACUUGGUAUACAUUCGUACUAGAAUCAUUGCCAAGUUAUAUUUUUCUAAACAGCUUUCAAAAUUAAACGAGAUAAAUACUUUGUAUACAUUCGUACAAGAAUCAUUACAAAGUUAAACUCUCUUUUCAAAACAUUUUCUAAACAGUUCUCAAACACUUUUUUCAGACAAGAAAAACAUAAGUGAUUCAGCAAUUAAGAGCCCAUGGAUAACCAUGGAUACAAAGGGUGCUAACACCUUCCCUUUGUAUAAUGUACCUCCCGAACCCAAAACUUAAUCAAGGUCUUUCUUGUUCUUUUCCGCCUUUCCUUAUUGGAUAAAAGAAAAGUCGGUGGCGACUCUUGCUAUCCGCGACAUUUGCUUUCCAAAGCAAAAACACACAAAGUCAGUUCACCGUAUGACAGAUACACUCAUAUGUGAUUGAAUUUCCAAGGAAAGUUAGAGCAAAAUUAUAUAAAGUGCAUGCAAUAAAUCAUAUUUAGGCAAGAUUUGAGAUAUCGAGUAUGCCCAAUUCCCUUCGAGUGUUGAAAAAUGGUUCAGUCGCAAGAGGUUUUGUAAAGAUAUUCGAAAGUUGAUUUUUGCUAUCAACAUGCUCAAAUACGACAUCUCCUUUUUCAACAUGGUCAAGUAGGAAGUGGUGACAUAUAUCAAUAUGUUUAGUGCGAGAGUGUAACACCAGAUUUUUUGUUAGAUUAAUAACACUAGUGUUGUUGCACAUAAUAGGAAUAUGUUGUAGUUUAACAUCAAAAUCAAGUAGUUGUUGUUUGAGCCACAAUAUUUGAGCACAACAACUACCGACUACGACGUAUUCCGCCUCGGCAGUUGACAAAACAAUAUAAACUUAUUUCUUGUUAUGCCAACUUACUAAGGAGUUUAAAAACAUGUGGCAAGUUCCACUAGUACUUUUCCUAUUUGAUUUGAAAUCGGUAAAAUCGGAAUUGGUAUAACUAACCAAAUCACAACCUCUUCCCUUGAAAUACCAAAGCAUAUACUUAGAAGUACCACAAAGGUAUCUAAGGAUGCACUUUGCGGCUUUUAAAUAUCAUUCCUUAGGAGUCGAUUGAUAACGAGUGCACAUACACACACUAAACAUAAUGUCCGGGAUAGAUGCAGUAAAAUAUAGGAGAGAUCCAAUCAUACCUUUAUACUUCUUGAAAUCAACAUCCUUACCAUUUUCAUCUUUUUCCAAGUUUCCAUUUGUGGGCAUUGGAGUGUUAAUUGAUUUUGCAUUUUCCAUACCAAAUUUCUUCAGCAAUUCGUUGCAAUAUCUUGUUCGACACACAAAUGACCCUUCAUUGAGUUUCUUGAUUUGAAGACCGAGAAAGUAGUUCAACUCCCCCAUGAGACUCAUGUCAAACUCACCCUGCAUUAUCUUAGAAAAUUCCUUGACUAAUUGCAUGUUAGUGGAACCAAAGAUGACAUCAUCAACAUAAACUUGAACUAGAAGAGUAUGUUUUCCUUGACAUUUAAUGAAAAGUGUAAUAUCUACAUUCCCUCUAGAGUAUCCUUGAUCGAUUAAGAACUUAUUAAGUCUCUCAUACCAAGCCUUAUGGGCUUGCUUGAGACCAUACAAAUCUUGUUUUAGUUUAUAAACAAGAUUAGGAUACUCAUGAUUUUUAAAACCGGGAGGUUGUGAAACAUGCACUUCCUCAUUAAUAUAUCCAUCAAGGAAAUUACUUUUCACGUCCUUUUGAAAUAACGUGAAAUCUUUGGAGCAAACAUAAGCUAGUAAAAGUAGGGGUGGCAAACGGGCAUGCCCGCCCCGCAAAAGCCCACAAAAAACGGGGCGGGGCGGGGCGGUCAUUGUUGAGGAUGCGGGCCUAAAACUUAGACCCGCCCCGCAAAAAAGUGAGGGCGGGGCGGGGAAAGCCUGCUGGCACUGCACUCUUUAAGCCUAAAAAUGCAAAAAUAUAUGUAAAUACACGUGCCAGCAAAAGCCCGUGAAAAAAAUGGGGCGGGGCGGGGCGGACACAUUUGAGGGUGAGUGCCUAAAUCCUUGGCCCGCCCCGCACAAAAGUGCGGGCAAAACGGGCAUUCCCCGCGGGCCGAGCCCGUUUUGCCACCCCUAAGUAAAAGGUGUAUAACCUCGAGGCGAGCAACCAGGCUUCUUCAUUGCAAUGAAUUGAAUGCAAAAAGAACCAACUCAAAAGUAGGCUUGAGGUGAAAAUGGCAAGUGUUGAAAGUUGAGGUCGUAACAUGCUUUCUAGGUCAGGCAUUUGGUCAAGCAGUCUUGGCACAUUUUGGGCAUCUUGAGGCCCAAAGUUCAUGAAACCAUAAAUGCUCCCUCAUGCAUUUUGAGACAAACUUGGGCCAAAUGAUCUUUCACAUAAGCUUAACAAGUUGCAAAAGGAAUGAGAUCAAAAUGAUACUUGAACUGAAAAUGGCAUGGCUUCCAAGUGGGGGUCAUGACAAGGUUUUGACCUAGUUUGACAACUUAUCCCUUUCCAUAAUUAAGGUCCUUAGAGGUUGAAUUGAUGCUUGAGACUUGAAGAAAAGUUGUAGAGGAACUACUUAGUAACAUUUGGCUCAAAGAAGCCUAUCAAUUGGUUGAAAAUUGAAGAAGUUAUGGGGUUUGGAGCAAAAGUGAGCCACACUUGAAAAUUAGGUCAACCAAACUUGUGCCAACUUGAAGUUUCUUUGCAUCCCAAACCAAAAUGAUGAUAGAAUGAGCAUCCCUUGAAUAAAACUUGAUUAAGGCUUGGAUGAUCUUGAGGAUGGCUUGGAGAAUGGAUGAAAUGGCAUGGAAUCAAACACAUGAACCACCCUUGAAUCAAUGAACCACAACUUGCAUCUUCCUUGACCAAAAUGACCAUUGUUUUGUAUUGAAUUGACGCAUGAUCACCUAUAUGAACAAGGGAACAAACAAGUACCAUUUCUUAUGAUGCUUUGGUUAGUUAAUAAGUGAAACAAAAUGAAAACCCCUAAUGUUAAGAUUAAAAUCAAGAUUGUGGCCAUGCUUGUGAAUCCAAUGACCAAAUGAAAUGGUCAUGCUAAUGACAUGAUGAUGCAUGAUAUGACUCCAUGUAUGCAAAUGGAACAAAUCAAAAGGUAAGAAAGGGAGAGUAAAUUUUCGGGUAUGACAAUUAUCCAACAAGCAUUAUUGAGCACUUAAAGAGUAUAGGUUAAUGAAGUUUCAUAUUUGAAAUAGAAUAAGACUUUAUUCUUUUGAUCAUUUUCGGAAUUAGUCUUAAUCCUUCCAAUUCUAUUUCAACCAUAUUUUAUUACUUGUGAUUGUAAAAAAUCCUAAGUAUUAAGGAGUGUUUGAUACUAGGUGUGGUUAAUAAGAAGGUGGUGUGUAUCUUCUUAUUGUUUUAUUUUAGAAGAUUGUAGGAGAAUUCUUGUGAUUAGGCUUGUACAAAGAUCUAAAAUAUAGUGGAAAAUCUCUCACUGGACAUGAAGGGGCUAGAUGUACCCUUGAUCAAUAAGGGAACUAGUAUAUAUCUUAGUGUUACUUAUUUUCAGGAAUUUAUCUUACUGCACUUUAUCAUUUCAAUUUUAUGAUAUAAGUCAAGAAAAAUAAGAACCUUGAAAAGAAUUGUGUAAAACCUAUAAAAUAGCAAAUACUCUAAUUCAACACCCCCCUUCUCUUAGAGUGUUCCUGACUACAACUGGAAUAUUAUAUAUAUAUUAUAAUAUAUCAUCUAUAUAUUAGUAUAUAUAUAUAUUAUCAUAUAUAUAAUAUCUAUAGAUAUAUAUAUAUAUAAAAGACCUUUAAAAUAUAUUAAAAUUUUAAAUUUGUUGGUGGCAAGAGUUGAACAAAAGACAAUUUACAUGUCAUUUUAAAAAUUUAUAAUUAAUCUGAACUUUUUUUGGAGUCUUUUUCGGCCCUAAAAUUUGAGGCCUAAAACUUUAGUUUGUGUCGCCUUACCUUGGCCCGACCCUGUCAACAAAUCAAAUAGAAAGACAUUACUAAUGUUAUUAAUCUUUAGUCAGAGGAAGAUAGUUAAUCUAUGAAGCAUGAGUGCUGAAAACACAACACUGGCCCUGAUAAGUCGACAUCAGAAAUAAUUUGAAAAAACUAUUCAAUUAAACGUAAUCACAAAUGUCGGUGUCGGUUUUGGACACACAUUUUUUCAGAUACGUAUGUGCUACAAAGUAGUUAAGCCUUUGAAAGAAAGAAAUACAUUAAUAAUUCAAAGAAAAUAAUAAACAUUAGUAAAUUUUGUGGUGACCUGGUGUUGGAAUUGUCCGGUCAAUACCAUGGGAAUUUACUUGCACAAGCCUAUUGUAGUAAUCUUGACUUCAUUUUAGCCUAAGACUUUAUUUUUUAUUACUACUUGUUGAAAUAAGAGAGCAUGAUAGACUUUUGAAUAAAACAAUGUGUCUCAAUAGUACUACAAAAGUUGUAUUAUAUAAUGUAAUCGUAAUAAUUAUAUAGGGAAUAUUCUACGGUAUAUCCUAUUCUAUUCUAUAAUGAGACUACAGAAUAUUUUAUGGAGUAUUCUAUAUAUACAAAUAUCCACACUCCUAUCUAGCUGAAUCAUAUAUGUCAUAUGAGUCUAACUUGUUACAAAUGUAAUCCACUUGAUAAUCCUUAAGAGACUUAGUGAACAAAUCAACCAAUUAGUCUUCAUAUUUGAUGAACUUUGUGGUGAUUUCUGAUGACAUUGAAAUUCACCAUAUUUUCGACUCCGAUUUCGCAUGCAUUUUAGUUGUUUUAUUAUUAUUUUGUUAUGUUAUUACUAUGUUUCUCUUUGUUUUCAGAUUUUCAGUCUAAUCGGAGCCCCGAUCGAGAAAAGGAGAGAAAACGAGCUAAAAACCCUAAAAUUCAGCAUUUUACAUUUGUGGCUCCCACUGUGGCUGGCGCCAUGGGUCCAUCCAUGACGUGUCCUAGCUCAACUUCCCUCAACUGCCACGUUCCCCACUACCUCCACUUGGGCGCCACACUUUGCUCUUGUGGCGGGCGCCAUGGGGUUGUGGCGGGCGCCACAAGAAGAAAAGUUUCCCUCCAAAAUCAAACUGAAGGGCAUCUUUGUCUUUCCAUUAUUUUACUUUCCUAUAAAUAGAGACUCGAAUUCAUUUGUUUAAUCAUCCAAACUUAGAGCAGAUCCAAACUUAGAGCAAACUUAGUUUCACUUAGGCAUAUAUUCAGUAUUUUAAAAGUGGUAAUCGCUUCACAUUGGGGUGUUGCCACAAUUGUGUAAUCAAGUCUGUGAUAGAGUCUGUAAUCGAGUUUGGAGCACUUUGGAAGGAAGUUAAUUCUGCCGCCAUUUUCAUUUCUGUUUCGCAUUUUAUUCAACCCUCCAAUUGGAGCAGGUUUUUAUUGCUUUACCUUUAGUCUAUUUACUUUCCCGCACUGUCUUUACUUUAUUUAUUUCUCGCACUCGCACUACUUUCAUUUAUUUCUCGCACUCGCACUACUUUCAUUUAUUUCUCGCACUCACACUAAUUUCAUUUAUUUUCCCGCACUGUCUUUACUUUCAUUUAUUUCUCGCACUCGCACUACUUUUAUUUACUUUCCGCACUCGCACUACUUUUAUUUAAAUUCUGCACUCGCAUUACUUUUAUUUAAAUUCCGCACUCGCACUACUUUUAUUUAUUUGCCGCACUCGCACUACUUUUAUUUAUUUUCCGCACUCGCACUACUUUUAUUUAAAUUAAAAUGCACCUUUACUUUACCAUGUCUAACUAAAUCUAUAAAGGUUAGAAUGUAAGGACCGUAAUUGAACCGAUAAUCCGUACAAUUGUUCGUAGAAACACUUAAGAGCUAUUUUAACUUUCAACUUAAGUUUUCCCGCACUUAAUUUCCGUUGGCUAAGAUCAAAAGUCGUCCAACGUCUUUUUAAACUUAGUUGUUUUUAACUAUUUCAAAUACAGCGAAAGCGCUUUGUUUAGUUCAUUAGGAGUUUUUAACUUAAGAAGAAAAGUGAUUUUAAAACUAUUUUCGAACGCGUUUAUAAGUUUAGAGUCUGGUUCGUGAGAACCUCUUUUGGUUAAGGAAUCCAGGUUAAAAUACUUUUCAACUUAGUCAAGAUACUAUAUUUCUUAAAAAUAGGUUUACUACUCUAAUGCAAUGCACGCCUUUUUAUAAGUGACAAUAAGAGGGUUUGAUUAGGGAGUACAACUCGGUUCUGAAUACGCGAAAGUGACAGUUCCUGUUAAAUUGGUUCUUUUCAAAGCAGGAAACACUGCCCAUAAGUAAUCCUAUUAGCUAGUACUUGGAUUAUUAAUUGAUUAUGUGAAUUACAUUCGAACCUGUCUUUAUUAAUUGAAUUUUAUUUAACACUUUACUUUUCAUUGCACACUCUUAAAACCCCUAUUUCGUUUACCUUAGAUAAACACCAUAACAAUAGAUAACGAUAGAUUGACACUUGGUCUUUGUGGAUUCGACAAUCUUUUAUAUUACUCUGACGCGUUCGUAUACUUGCGAAAAGCACGCAUCAAGUUUUUGGACUUAGAUAAACACCAUAACAAUAGAUAACGAUAGAUUGACACUUGGUCUUUGUGGAUUCGACAAUCUUUUAUAUUACUCUGACGCGUUCGUAUACUUGCGAAAAGCACGCAUCAAGUUUUUGGCGCCGUUGUCGGGGAUCAAUUUCGUCAAAUUUCGUACCCUGUUGUUAUAUCGUUUAGACUUAGGUUAUUACCCACCGGUCAAUGCGAAGAACUCACAGCACCGGAAGCUUAGUAUACCCUCUGGCGGAACCUGAACGUUACGCUCACGCACGUUUAUUCUUCCAUAGAAUUAGGAGAGCUAUGGCCGAAGAUCAAAACCAAAGACCUCUUAAGGAUUUCUCCCAACCAUCCAACGAAGAACCUAGUUCUAGUAUAGUAAACCCAACCGUCCCAGCUAAUAAUUUCGAACUUAAACCUUCCCUAUUGCAACAAGUGCAACAAAGACAAUUCACAGGUCUUGCUACUGAGAACCCAAACCAACACUUAACAAUCUUUCUCCAAUUAGCAGACACUUUCAAAACCAAUGGAGCUUCUCCUGAGGUAAUCCAUUUAAGAUUGUUCCCUUUUUCCCUCAGAGAUAAAGCCCUAUCAUGGUUAGAUUCCCUUCCACCCAAUUCCAUUACAACUUGGGAAAACCUUAGAAGAGUAUUCCUUGCUAGAUACUUUCCCCCAAGUAAGACCGUCGUUCUUCGAAACCAUAUAACUAGAUUUACCCAUAACCAGGGAGAAUCGAUGUUCGAAGCUUGGGAGAGAUAUAAAGAGCUGUUAAGAGCAUGCCCAUAUCAUGGUUUAGAAAAUUUGGUUAAUCAUUCAGACCUUCUAUAAUGGACUUCACUAUAACACUAAGAUGACCAUCGACGCUACCGCAGGCGGUGCACUGAUGAACAAACCUUAUCCUGAAGCUAGUGCCCUCAUCGAAGAUAUGGCUCAAAACCAUCAAUCAUGGGGAGUCGAACGAGCGACAGUUGAGAAGAAGGAAGCCCAAGGAGGAGUACAUGAAUUAAGCUCUAUAGACAUGAUGCAAGCUAAAAUGGACGCAUUAGCCCUUAAGGUCGAACAUAUGUGCGUAAACCCGAAUACUACAGCUGCAGUUUCGUCGGAUUAUGAGAUAUGUGGAACCAAAGGACACCAAUCUGCAGAAUGCAGUCUAUUAAACGAAACCCACUCUGAGCAAGUGAACUACACCCAAGGGAACCCAUAUUCGAAUACCUAUAACGCCUGGAUGGAGGAAUCGACCGAACUUCUCCUAUGAAACAAUAACCCUAUCCAAAAUAAUGCACCUCCGAGACCAGGUUACCAACCCCAAGAUCAAAUCAACCUAUGCAACCUGUACCACAAAGCCAAGCCUUGAGAAUUAUGAAAAUUUAUCCUGCUCAAACCAACAAACAAAGAGUUCAGUGAACCAAAAAUUCAGUAACGAACUGAUUACCCAUAGGACCAAGGUUGACCAAAUAGUUACUCACACCAAGAUGCUUGAAACCCAGAUCUCUCAGGUAGCUUUAAACCAAGCCCCCCAGACUACACCUGGAGGACAGUUCCCUGGACAACCUCAACAGAAUCCAAGAGGGUAAGCCAAUGUCAUUACCCUACGAAGUGGGAAUGCUUAUAAUGAUCCACCAAACCCAAAAUUGAGCGAACCCAAAACUUCUAAGCAAUAUACCGAACCCACGGACGAAGUGAAGGAACCAGAGGAAUUUGAAAACCAGGAAGGUCGAGAAAAAGGAGAAGAACCUAAAGACAAAACUUAUGUACCACCCCCGCCAUAUAAACCACCUAUACCAUAUCCGCAAAGACUCAAACAAAUCCAGAUUAAUAACCAGUAUCAGAAAUUUAUUAAGGUUAUAGAAAAACUUCACGUAGAAAUCCCUUUCACAGAAGCCAUCACCCAAAUACCUUCUUAUGCAAAGUUUCUCAAAGACAUCCUUACCAACAAACGUAAUUAUUAAGGUUAUAGAAAAACUUCACGUAGAAAUCCCUUUCACAGAAGCCAUCACCCAAAUACCUUCUUAUGCAAAGUUUCUCAAAGACAUCCUUACCAACAAACGUAGACUCGACGAUCCGAAACCUCUGGAAUGCAAUUCUAUUUCCGAGAAUAAGUUAGCCAAAAAAGAUAAAGAUCCUGGAAAUUUCUCCAUUCCUUAUCUUUUGGGAAGUCAUGUCAUCGAAAAAGGUUUUAUAGACUUAGGAGCUAGUGUGAGCUUAAUGCCUUUAGCGGUUUGUGAGAGGUUAAACUUAGGAGAAUUACAGCCUACUAAGAUGUCACUUCAGUUAGCCGAUAGAUCUGUUAAAUAUCCGAUAGGCAUUUUAGAAGAUGUCCCUGUUAGGAUAGGUCGGUUAUUUAUCCCUACUGAUUUUGUUGUCAUGGACAUCAAAGAGGAUAAUGAUAUACCAAUCCUUCUAGGUAGACCAUUCUUAUCAACUGCAGGAGGCAUAAUAGAUGUCAAGAGAGGAAAGUUGACCUUUGAGGUAGGUGACGAGAAGAUAGAAUUUAUACUUUCGAAAUUUCUUAUGGCACCUGUGAUGGGAGACGCAUGUUAUGCCUUAGAUAUCAUUGAUGAAUGCGUUAGGGAAUUAGAAUAAGAAGAAAUCAUAAAAACAAUUAAGUUGCCAUCAACUCUCAUACUGGAAGAUGAUGACUUUAGGAAACCCUACAUCGAUGAUAACCUUUACGAAUGUUUAUCCCUUACCCCAGAUUCUAUGCCAUGCCCUAAGACACCAACCUUAGAACUUAAGGAGCUGCCUAAGAACCUAAGAUAUGAGUUCCUCGACGAAGAGAUGAACUGUCCAGUUAUAGUCAGUGCUACCUUGAGCCAAGAGGAAACAAACCAACUUUUAGAUGUUUUACGAAGAUAUCCCUCAGCCUUAGGAUAUAAUAUCUCUUACCUGAAAGGUAUAAGCCCAUCCGUAUGCAUGCAUCGGAUUUCGCUCAAAGAAGAUUCAAAACCCUCCAGAGAACAUCAGAGAAGAAUAAACCCUAUAAUAAGUGAUGUUGUUAAAAAGGAAGUUCUUAAGUUACUUGAGGCGGGUAUAAUCUAUCAAAUCUCGGAUAGUAAGUGGGUGAGCCCUGUGCAUGUAGUACCUAAAAAGGGAGGCAUCACAGUCGUGCAAAACGAUAAAGGCGAACAUGUAGCAAAACGGAUAGAAGGAGGAUGGUGGAUGUGUAUAGAUUAUAGAAAGUUAAAUAAAGCAACCAGGAAGGAUAAUUUCCCUUUACCAUUUAUAGACCAGAUGUUGGAGCGUCUAGCCAGACACUCUUACUUCUACUAUCUAGAUGGAUACUCAGGAUUCUUCCAAAUACCUAUCCACCCCGAAGAUCAAGAAAAAACUACCUUUACAUGCCCUUAUGGAACUUUUGCCUACAGACAAAUGCCAUUCGGCCUCUGUAACGCCCCAGCCACUUUCCAACGCUGCAUGAUGUCAAUCUUUGCAGAUUACCUAGAUGGUAUCAUGGAAGUAUUUAUGGAUGAUUUCUUGGUUUGUGGAUUUGAUUUCCACAAUUGUCUUGCUAACUUUGAGAAAAUCCUGGAAAGAUGCGUGGAGGUGAACCUUGUGCUAAAUUGGGAAAAGUGUCAUUUCAUGGUGACCGAAGGAAUUAUUUUAGGACAUAUAGUUUCCGAAAAAGGUAUAGAGGUAGAUAGAGCUAAGAUAGAAGUUAUAGAGAACCUAAAACCACCCAAAACUAUCGGAGAAUUCCGAAGUUUUCUUGGACACGCUGGAUUCUACCGGCGUUUUAUUAAGGACUUCUCCAAAAUAACUAAACCUUUAAUUGUCCUUUUAAUGAAAGAUGCUGAAUUCAUUUUCAAUGAAAAAUGUAAUGAAGCAUUUAAUCUUUUAAAGCAAACAUUAAUAUCAGCACCCAUUAUGAAACCCCCUGAUUGGUCAGAACCUUUUGAGAUAAUGUGCGACGCUAGUGACUAUGCCGUUGGAGCCGUUCUAGGAAAAAGGAAAGAUAAAAAAUUACAUGCAAUUUAUUAUGCCAGUAGAACCCUAGACGCUGCCCAACUUAACUAUGCAACAACUGAAAAGGAAUUACUCGCUGUAGUUUUCGCUAUAGACAAAUUUAGAUCUUAUCUAGUAGGAGCCAAAAUUAUAGUUUACACCGAUCAUGCUGCCAUUCGUUACCUAUUAAGUAAAAAAAGGAUGCCAAGCCCAGGUUACUCGAUGGAUUCUGUUACUACAAGAGUUUGAUUUAGACAUAAGAGAUAAAAAAGCACUGAAAAUGUAGUAGUUGAUCACCUUUUCUAGGCUAGAACACUAAAACCAGACUUAGUACCAUAAAUGAUGAUUUUGCCUAUGAUGACUGUAGCUAGACUAGAAACAUUGAAGACGAUAUCCUAGGCCCUCAUGAGCACUUCCAAAAUCCUUAGAGUAAGUAACGUACCAUGGUAUGCAGACUUUGUUAAUUACCUAGCUGCACCCCCUGAUCUUGACUACCACCGCAAGAAGAAGUUCUUCAACGAUGUGAGAAACUUUUAUUGGGACGAACCGCUCCUUUUCAAAAGGGGUAAAGAUGGCAUUUUUCGCCGUUGCGUUCCAGAGGAGGAGGUAAAAAGUAUAAUUGAGCAUUGUCACUCUGCACCCUAUGGUGGACAUGCGAGCACCUCUAAGACAUACACCAAGAUUCUUCAAGCUGGCCUAUUUUGGCUUGCCAUGUGGCGUGAUGUCCAUGCUUGCAUUGUCAAAUGUGAUAGAUGCCAAUGCACUGGAAAUAUUUCAAGGCGUGACGAGAUGCCUCAAAGAAACAUUCAAGAAGUAGAACUCUUCGACGUGUGGGGUAUAGAUUUCAUGGGACCUUUCCCACCAUCCUUAGGAAACAAGUAUAUCUUAGUGGCUGUGGACUACGUGUCUAAGUGGAUUGAAGCCAUAGCUGCACCCACAAACGAUACUAGGGUAGUGAUCAAAUUAUUUAAGAAUUAUAUAUUCCCUAGAUUUGGAACACCCUGUUUAGUCAUAAGCGAUGGAGGAUCACACUUCAUAUCGAGAAUAUUUGAUAAACUUUUAAGAAAAUAUGGAGUUAGGCAUAGAGUAGCAACACCAUACCUAGAAGUAUUCCAAUAGGGAGAAUAAAACAAUCAAGAAAAAACUGUUUUAAUAUAGAAGAGACUGGUCUAGAAGCUUCAAGAAGCAAUUAUGGCUUUCAAAACCCCUAUAGGAACUACUCCCUACCAACUAGUUUAUGGAAAAUCCUGUCACUUACCUUUCGAAUUAGAGCAUAAGGCCUAUUGGGCCAUUAAAACUUUGAAUUUAGAUUACCUGACCGCUGGUGAAAAGCGUAUCCUUGACAUUCACAAACUAGAAGAACUCAGGCAAUCUACCUACGAGAAUGCCAAAAUAUACAAAGAGAGAACAAAAGCCUGGAACGACAAAAGAAUAGUUAAGAAAGAUUUCAAUAUAGGCGACCCUGUUCUCUUGUUCAACUCUAGGUUACGACUUAUCCAUGGGAAGCUGCACUCAAGAUGGACUGGCCCUUUCAAAGUAUCCAAAAUUAUGAGAUCCGGAGCCGUAGAAAUCAAGAAGGAAACAUGUAGUCCAGUCAUUGUAAAUGGACAAAGACUGAAGCUCUACGAAGGAGGAGACAUUCCAACAGACUACUCAAGCCACACUCUGAUCGAUCCACCGAUCCCUACUACAGGUGUAUAAAUUCCGAUCGUCAAGCUAAUGACGUUAAACAAGCGAUGCUUGGGAGGCAACCCAUGGUUUUCUUACCUUGUUUUACUUUUUUGCAUUUACAUUAUUUUAUUUUUAAUUUUUAAUUUUUAUCAUAUUUUCACCGAGACUAAAUAUUUGAAAUGUUUGUAUUUUCAGGAUCCCUUUUCCUAACUUUUACAGGAUGCAGGACUUCGACGAUAUGCACGUAGCCUAUAGAGAUGAUGCCCAGAGAGAGCUCUACAUAGCUCUUUACCAGCGCCCUAUGGCGCCUACACGCUACCCAGACCAGCACUGCAUGGAAGCCUUGGGCAUUGAGCCAAGCAUCCGAUUUCUGAGCCACCAACUCCAUUGGGACGAGUUCGCUGACGACCUAAGCAACACCUACAGGAACCUGACAUUGGAGUUCCUCAGUCCAGAUCGACCGAAGGAGUCAUUCAUGUAGGAGGGAUCAUCACACAGAUCGUCAUCGCCUUAGGUCUAUCCCGCAAGCUGUUAUAUCUCAGGACCUACUGUGGGUACACUACCAUGGAUAUCGACUUUUGCUUGACCAGAGGGUUGAUGACGAGAUCCUCCUUCAACCCAAGACAGUUCAGAUUGCUGGUCGAUAGUGAGGCGAUUCAUUAUUUUACACUGCCUGAUCCUAUGAUGACUAGUGUUCAUGACCCAGCAAACUGGAUUUACGCUCUGGAGGGCCAAGGAAAGACUAUCGAGGAGCCGAGAUCCCCACCUAUUACUGAGUAUACCCCUACACCGCCUUCGCCCAGGAUCACUGUAUUCUCUAACAAUUUAUCAUUGCAGACCCCAGACAUCCGCACGCAGAUUGCAGAGUGUCGUCGAGAGAUUGUCGGGCUUAGACAGGAGGUGGCUGACCUCACCUUAGAGAUGGGAGUAUCCGAUCUCACACACACUACCGAGGCUGACUGUUUAUACCAGGAGAUCACCGAGCUUCGCUAGGAGAUAGCCAUGCUUCGUGGAUCUACUCAGGCAGACGAACCCCCUACUAUUUGAUUUUACCAUCUCAUUUUAUUUUGUCUCAUUUAUGCUUAUAUUUUCCGUAUUUACCUAACUCAUUUUAUAUCAUUGCAUUUGGGAUAUUUUCUUAACUAUACUAGCACAUUAAUAUUAUUUCCAUUUUAUGUGUGUUUAUUAUAUUUAUAUUUUUAUCAUAGUCUAGUUAAUUAUAUUAUUUAUUUAUUUAUUAGUCUAAUGUUUUAAAUUUUAUUUCUAUAAAAUUAUGCAAGCCUUAUGUCAAUAGGAAAAUACAAUGCAAACCCUAUCCGGACCCCCUAACCGAAAAGAGAACGAGAAGCCCAAGCCAAAUGACCAAAAUCCGGCCCAAUCGAAUUUAUCCUUAUGGUGCCCGCCAUAGAUGUUAUGGCGCCCGCCCAGCGUCUGUUACUCGGGGCAGAUCACAUUCUUCACCAUUUUUCAACUUCAACCUCAAACCCAUUUUUUCACCUUCCGAAAAAGCCCUUGAACCCCACAAAAGCUCCCACCUUUCUCAUCUUCACACCAUACAAAUCAUUUUCCCAACUUCCAUUUUCAUUUUCAUCCAUCAAAUCUCAUAAAAAUCACACCUUUUUACAUACCCAUGUUCAUCUUCUUCAUCGCAUUGCAAGAGCUAAAUAAUGGAGUUCAAUGGAUUUAUCCUUCGUGAAGGGAAACCGGGAGAUAGACAGAGGAAGAUUAUCGAACGAUUGCAAAAUCGGGAAAUCCUCCCGACAAGGUAUGUUGAUGAAAAUUGUCUUUACACUUUGGGUAUCUAUCAUAGCAUUUUUUAUUUAUUAGAUAAUUUAGGCUUGCAUACUAUCUUUUCAAAUAAAGAACCUACCUUUGAGCGAUUGACAAUCGAAUUUUUAAGUUCUUUAAUUUAUAUUGUCAAUCCUAACACUGCUAGCACAGUUGGUAUUGUCAGAUUUAGAAUGUUUUCUGUUGAAUAUGAAUUCAGUACCGACGAACUAGCAGGCCUGUUAGGUAUUCCUCAUGGGGACGGUGCUAUUUGUGAGGCCCCUUUGGAUUCAGAUUGGUCGGUCGAGGUAUUUUCCUUAUGGAAGAGAUUGUCAAACACUUCAAUAAAUUCUUUUGAAGGAAUUCUUGCCUCGACCAUCCAUAACCCGACCAUCAGAGUUUUUAGAUAUCUGUUGGCAUGUACUAUUUUUGGCCGGGAGAAUCCAAUAGGGUCAAUGCCGAGGCUUCUAUUUUUUGCAAGAAGCCUCACCAUGAAGAUUAAUUCGGUCCCGUUUAUGCUUGCUCAUAUGGCUUUAACUCUUAAUAAAGCGGGACCGAUUGUUUUCGGAGGACUCAUUACGUCUAUUGCUCGGGCGCUUAACCUGAACAAUGAGAUAGCUACCCUAGAUCCCUUAGCUCCUUGCACAAUCAACCUAAAAUUUCUGAGAGACAUGAAAUUGUGCCGAUUGAGGAGAGAAGGAGGCUAUGUGCUUAUGGUUCAUGGUGUAGCUAUCCCAUCUGUUGUCUUACCGUGCACUAGACGUACUGAUGUACAUGAUGAAAGGAAUUGGACCUAUGUUUUAGAUGCUCCACCUGUUUUGGGUCCUCUUCCUCCUAAUGUUUCUGAUGAGGAGGGACACGACACUGAUGAAGAAUAUGAUCAGAGAGAGCAAUCUCCCAUACCUCAUGUGUCCCCCAUCACCCUUCACCACCAUACACCACACCAUCUUCUUCUUUUGCAGGUUCUGCUCCUGGCUUCUAUAUUACAGAGGAGAUGUGGCGUGACCACAUGGCUAGAGAGAAAAGGCGUGAUGACCUACUCUCUACCAUUCAGCAACAACUGGCGGACAACAUGAGCUUCAUGCAAGAAUCGUAGCGGAGGACAGAUAGAUCCUAUGAGGCUGUUGUACAGUCCCUGCUUACGAUCACAAACCAGCAAGCCCGUCAACAGCAAUACCACCGUCAACAUUCUGCACUGAUCGAGGCCACUCAGGGUUCCAUUUUAAGCAACCUUUGAGAGGCGAGGACUGCUCAGGAUGCCUUACAGGCCAGGAUGGAUCAGAGAGACCGUCGUCCACCUCAGGAUGGCGAAGGUACCAGUGGUCAGCAGUAGGAUGUCAGGUGUCUCUCCCCUUAUCUUAUUUCGAAACAUUGGGGACAAUGUUCGAUUUAAGUGCGGGAGGAGACUUUAUCGCUUUCUAUUUUUCUUUGCUGUUUUUAGUUAGUUUGUUCAUUUUUAUUGCUUUUUAGUUGUUUACUUCGUUUCAUUUUGCUUUUAGUUUGAGUGUUUUAGAUAAUGCAUGAGUCUGACGAGUCACCAGUAUAGUGUAUCUUUAGUACAGUCUAAUCUUCCCAUUCCUUUAGCCCUACCAAAAUUUUUUGCAAAAGAAAACGGUGUUAUCCUGAAAGUUUUUGGGUUUUUAAGACGGGUUUGAGUAAGGAUGCGGUGACUUGGGAGAACUUUUUGAAACAUCAGUAUUGUUUUAGCACCAUAGACUUCAUGAAUAUAGGAAUCACUCCCGAAACCCCAUAUACCAUGGCCUUAAUCAUCAUUUCAAUAUAAGUCCUCAGUAGUUUAUUCCAGCAGUCAGCUCCGGCCUACGCAUCCUCUACGUAGGGACCGAUGACAUAAGUGAAUGAUCCAGUGAAAUAAAUAAAAAUAAAAGAAAGCAAAAAGGAAACUCCGGUAUAGUUGACCCUCACAAAGUCAUUUAAACCAAAAAGGUUGUAAAAAUUUGCUACAAAAGAAAAGAAAAAGAAAGAAAAAAGCUCACCCACUGUUGUGUUGUUCAGAGGUAUCUGGCGCUGAACUCGGUAGGGAUGGAUACGAUCCGAUCCCCCACAACUGCAGUUGGGUCAAAUAAAGGGUUUACGACGAUAUUUAUGUGCCAGGAACCCCAUGUUUAGAUCAUAAUCACUAACAGGUCACUCUGCUAUGAAGCAUGUACGGAUAACGGGCUUAAUGUGAUUGCGCCUGAAUGAAAAGGACACAAAAAGAGAUGAAGAGGCAAACCUAGGUAUUAUAGGAUAAUAUGGGUUGGUUAAUAUCGGAAUAGAGUCUAUGUCCGUAUUUUUCGGAUAAGUGUCAUUAUGAUACCCUUAGUUCACUCAGUUAGUACCUAUCACUUCAUCCCGACUUGAACUUAGAAAUCUUUUAGCCUGAAUCACUCGUUGACACCAGUUUUUCUUCUAUGAGCUUUUUAAUGUUUUGCUUGAGGACAAGCAAGGGUUUAAGUGUGGGAGAAUUUGAUGACAUUGAAAUUCACCGUAUUUUCGACUCCGAUUUCGCAUGCAUUUUAGUUGUUUUAUUAUUAUUUUGUUAUGUUAUUACUAUGUUUCUCUUUGUUUUCAGGUUUUCAGUCUAAUCGGAGCCCCGAUCGAGAAAGGAGUGAAAACGAGCUAAAACCCUAAAAUUCAGCAUUUUCACUUGUGGCUCCCACUGUGGUGGCGCCAUGGGUCCAGCUAUGACGUGCCCUAGCUCAACUUCCCUCAACUGCCACGUUCCCACUACCUCCACUUGGGCGCCACACUUUGCUCUUGUGGCGGGCCGCCAAAGAAGAAAAGUUUUCCCUCCCAAAUUCAAACUGAAGGGCAUCCUUGUAUUUUCCAUUAUUUUACUUGCCUAUAAAUAGAGACUCGAAUUCAUUUGUUUAAUCAUCCAAACAUAGAGCAAAUCCAAACUUAGAGCAAACUUAGUUUCACUUAGGCAUAUAUUCAGUAUUUUAAAAGUGGUAAUUGCUUCACAUUGGGGUGUUGCCACAAUUGUGUAAUCAAGUUUGUGAUAGAGUCUGUAAUCGAGUUUGGAGCACUUUGGAAGGAAGUUAAUCCUGCCGCCAUUUUCAUUUCUGUUUCUCAUUUUAUUCAACCCUCCGAUUGGAGCAGGUUUUUAUUGCUUUACCUUAAUCUAUUUACUUUCCCGCACUGUCUUUACUUUAUUUAUUUCUCGCACUCGCACUACUUUCAUUUAUUUCUCGCACUCGCACUACUUUCAUUUAUUUCUCGCACUUGCACUACUUUCAUUUAUUUUCCCGCACUGUCUUUACUUUCAUUUAUUUCUCGCACUCGCACUACUUUUAUUUACUUUCUGCACUCACACUACUUUUAUUUAAAUUCCACACUCGCACUACUUUUAUUUAAAUUCCACACUUGCACUACUUUUAUUUAUUUGCCGCACUCGCACUACUUUUAUUUAUUUUCCGCACUCGCACUACUUUAUUUUAAAUUAAAAUGUACCUUUACUUUACCAUGUCUAACUAAAUCUAUAAAGGUUAGAAUGUAAGGACCGUAAUUGAACCGAUAAUCCGUACAAUUGCUCGUAGAAACACUUAAGGGCUAUUUUAACUUUCAACUUAAGUUUUCCUGCACUUAAUUUCGUUGGGUAAGAUCGAAAGCCGUCCAACGUCUUUUUAAAUUUAGUUGUUUUUAACUAUUUUAAAUACAGUGAAAGCGCUUUGUUUAGUUCAUUAGGAGUUUUUAACUUAAGAAGAAAAGUGAUUUUAAAACUAUUUUCGGACGCGUUUAUAAGUUUAGAGUCUGGUUUGUGAGAACCUCUUUUGGUUAAGGAAUCAAGGUUAAAAUACUUUUCAACUUAGUCAAGAUACUAUAUUUCUUAAAAAUAGGUUUACUACUCUAACACAAUGCGCGCCUUUUUAUAAGUGACAAUAAGAGGGUUUGAUUAGGGAGUACAACUCGGUUAAACUUAGUCAAGAUACUAUAUUUCUUAAAAAUAGGUUUACUACUCUAACACAAUGCGCGCCUUUUUAUAAGUGACAAUAAGAGGGUUUGAUUAGGGAGUACAACUCGGUUCUGAAUACGCGAAAGCGUCAGUUCCUGUUAAAUUGGUUCUUUUCAAAGCAGGAAACACUGCCCAUAAGUAAUCCUAUUAGCUAGUACUUGGAUUAUUAAUUGAUUAUGUGAAUUAAAUUCGAACCUGUCUUUAUUAAUUGAAUUUUAUUUAACACUUCACUUUUCAUUGCACACUCUUAAAACCCCUAUUUCGUUUACCUUAGAUAAACACCAUAAUAAUAGAUAACGAUAGAUUGACACUUGGUCUCUAUGGAUUCGACAAUCUUUUAUAUUACUCUGACGCGUUCGUAUACUUACAAAAAGCACGCAUCAAUUUCUCCUUAAAGCGCCUUGUCCCUUACAUAAUGAUGGUCUAUUUCUAUGUGCUUGGACCACUCAUGAAAAAAAAAUAUUAGAUGCAAUAUGGAAUGUCAGUUGAUUGUCACAUAUGAGUUUUGUAUCCUGAAGAUCUCCCAACCUAAGCUCUGAGAGUAAAAUUUUAAGACAUGCAAGUUCCUUUAAGGCUGCUGCCAUAAAAUGAUAUUCAACUUCAACACUAUAUAGUAAAAUUUUAUUUUGUUAUUUGCUUCUUCGUGAGAUCAUAUAUUACCUCUAAUAAGGACACAAGAUCCAAAAGUGGAUCUCUUAUCCGAUAGUGAUUUGACCUAGCCUGCAUCUAAAUAACCAAUGAUUUUAGCAAUACCAUUAUCUUCACAUAACAAUCCUUUUCCUCGUGUACUCUUUAUAUCUCUAAGAAUUUGGAUGACUGAAUCACAAUGAUCAUCACAAGGAGAGUUAAGAAACUGGAUCACAAUGCUCAUCGCAAAUGUAAUAUCUCGCCUGGUGAUUGUAAGAUAGUCGAGUCUACCCAUAAUCUUUCAAAGCCCCCCUGACCUCGAAGAAGCUUGAUGUUGGGAUCCAUAGGAGUAUCAAUAGGAUGACAAUCAAGCAUACCAGUUUCACUGAGGAUGUCUAAUGCAUAAUUGCGUUGGUUGAUUGCAAUUCAUGAUGAGGAUUGGGCAACUUCAAUUCCUAAGAUGUAUCUGAGUGGACCCAAGUCUUUGGUCUGAAAUAUAUUAAAAAUAUUAGUUUUAAGAUGUUGGAUACCCUAUGUGUCGUCUCUAGUGAUAACAACAUCAUCAACAUAGACCACAAUAAAGAUGUGUCGACUGGUGGAGGAAUAAAUGAAGAGAACAAAGUGAUUUGCUUCAUAUUUAGUCAUACCAAACUAUAUCAAGAUAGAGUUGAAGCAAACAAACCAAACACAUGGGAACUGUUUCAUCCCAUAAAGAGAACGACGAAGCUGACAAACAAGUCUAGAAUUUCCAAGAACAAUAUAACAUGGAGGUUGAUCCAUAUAAACUUCCUCCAUCAAUUCUCUGUGUAAAAAGACAUUUUUAACGUCCAACUGAUGAAGCGACGAAUGAUGAAUGACAACCAUUGCAAGAAAGAGGCUGACUGAACUUAUCUUGGCGACCAGAAAAAGCAUCACCAUAACAUGUGUGUAUCCUUUGGCUACCAAACAUGCUUUGAAACGAUCUAUCAGACCAUCUAGUCCAACUUUCAUUGUCUAAACAUAUCGAGAUCCCACAGUAGUAUUGUCUGGAGGUAAAGUAACAAUGUCUGAAGCGUUAUUUGAAUGUAAUGCAACCAUUUCUUCCACCAUCGCCUGAAGCCAAUUGGGACCAGACAUAACUUCACCUGUAGACUUAGGAAAAAACACAUAAUCCAAAACAUAAACAAAAUAUAAAUAGGAAGUAGAGAGACGAUCAUAAUUUAACAAACAUACAUAUUUAGGAUUAUGAGGAUGAGAUCGAAUACCUUUUUGUAAUGCUAUUGGAAGGUCAAGUUCAGGUGACGUAACUGAAGGAGGAGUUGAAGCAAGAGAUGGUACUAGUGGGUCAAUGUCAUCUCUUACCUGUUGGUGUAAGCCCUAGAGGCCAAUACUUUUGGUACUUGUAUCAAAUUAUCUAUUAAUAAUAAAAGGCUUUUUCUUUAUUAUGUUUGUCUAAUAAAUUCCCUAGAAUAGAUAGUCCGUUUAAUGUAUCGAGUGUGACUUAAUCAUGAGAUAACAUUAAACAUAAGGACACUAUUCUUAAAGUAUCCAUAGUCGAGCUUUAUUGUGAAGUGGGAUAACAUUAAAGCAUUAAGACUAUUAUGUAUAUAGACUGAUGAUCACAUCUCAUGGAUCAUGGAUAAGGAGUUAUAGUUUAAACAUAGGUUAUGAAAUAUUAAGAGUAAUAUUUAUAUGGAAUGACCCGCUCAAUGAGAAUUACUCAUAUAGAAUGUUAUUGCAAAAGAUGUUCAUAAGUUAUUCUCAUGCGUGGAUAAUGGUGUAUACCCACCCUUCGACCUGAAACCACUAUGGACCUAGUAGUCGAGUUCGAGUGCCUUAUUGCUGAUCAAACAUUGUCCGUAACUGGAUGACCAUAAAGACAGUUGAUGGGUACUCCACGAAGCAUGCUAAGAGACAUGAGUGACCUAGAUGGAAUUUGCCCAUCCCGCGUAACAGGAUAAAUGUCUAUGGGCCCAAUGUUGAACUAGACAAGGAUGACACGAUCUAUGCCUUGUGUUCAAUAUAGACAUAAGGGCAAAAGGGUAAUUGUACACAUAAGUAUUAUCACAAAAGGAUUUGUCAUAUCACAUGACAUUUUUGUGUCUUGGGUAGCAGUGAUGUGUUCCUAGAUACCGCUCACUGUUUAUUAUGUUAAAUACGUGAUUUAAUAUAAUUGCCAAUGUCGCGAAAACCUACAGGGUCACACACAAAAGGACGGAUUGAUGAGAGAUAGAGUAACUAAGGAAUAUCGUAAUGUACGGUGCACUUAAGUGAAUUGUAGUACAUCUUAAGGUACGGUGUACUUAAGUAGAAUACGAAAUAUGGUAAGGUACCACGCGCUUAAGUGAUUUUGGCAUAUUAUAAGAUAUGGGCCACAUACACUUGAGUGGGCUUUUUAGCUUGCAGCCCAUUAAGUGAUUUUGGCAUAUUAUAAGAUAUGGGCCACAUACACUUGAGUGGGCUUUUUAGCUUGCAGCCCACACAAGUGGUUCUAUAAAUAGAACCCUUGUGUAGAAGCAUUAGUGCAAUUGCAAUUUCGUUUCUCUGUCUCUCUCACUCAAAGCCUUCAUUCGUAGUAGCUAGCACUGAGAUUGAAGGAAUCCGUUCAUGUGGACUGAGUAGAGGCGUUGUCAUCGUUCAACGUUCGUGAUCGCUCUGUAGAUCUGCAUCAAAGGUUAAAAUUGCCACAAGAGGUAACAAUUCUAUCACUGAUCAUGCCCAUUCAUAAGGAUCACUAAAGGAGAAAUUUUAAAUUUCACUGCGUUUUGGAUCGCUCUUCUCCUUCAGUGGUAUCAGAGCCACUUACGAAACCAUGCAUCUGAUAGCUGCUUAUUUUCUGUAUUUUCUAUAUUAAUACGAUUAAAAGACAAAAUGAAUAAAAAAAAAUAAACGAGUAAUUAAAUUUGGCAUCAUGUGUGUACGAUUUGGAUGAUUGAUGUUGACUAUGCUUCGGAAUCCGACAUUAGUAUGGUGAAGCAGCGAUACAUCGAUCGUCCAGAGGUUAUGCAAUUGAGAUCGAUCAAGUUAUAUAUAUGAUAUAAGUAAUCCUGAUGCAAAAUACGGUAUAUAUGAUAUACUGUUUCUGUUUCGUUCAUUCAAACACUUAAUGGUUGUUUUCCUUUGAGAAAUACGGUAUAUAUGAUAUACUGUUUCUGUUUCGUUCAUUCAAACACUUAAUGGUUGUUUUCCUUUGAGCGAUCAAUGGUCGUUUGCUUCUUGAUCCGACAUUAGUAUGGUGAAGCAAUGACGUGUUGAUUAAUCAUACUGAAUCAACAAUCGAGGUGUGUUUGACGGUCUGAAAUUGGUGCAUUAGGGUUAAUGAUAGCACAAGGGUUGUGUUGUCAAAGAGUUAUGCGAUUAGGGUUAUGACUGCGCAAGAGUUGUGCUUUAAAGUAUCAAGUGUUGAUGCGAAAAACAAUGUCGAUUUCAAAUGAAUUAUUCAUUAAAAAUUUCGGCCAGGGGCAGCAGACCCUCGACUAACUCUGUGUAGUGUGAUCGGUCGCCGAAAUUUAAUUUGGUUUUAAAUAAUUAAAAGAAUUAAAAUUAAUAAUAAUAAUGUGUUUAUUAUUAUUGUCUUGUGGUGAUCAGCUAUGGCCUUAGUUUUCCUUUAUUUUGUUUUGGGUUUUUUAAAAAUACAACCUGCGUGUCGUGCCUCUCUUUUAAUCUCAUAAUGUAACUUCUUUUCUCAUCUCACUCCCUCGUAUGUAAAACGAGUUUCUUUUAUGUAAUGUAAUGUUAUGAAGAAAGAGAAGAAUUCAAUAUCAAAUGAGGACAACCUUGAAGAUCUUGCUUGGAGAAGCUUAGAUCGUUAUUAGGUUAGCUUAGGUUCUCUCAUUGGCUUGGGAGAACAAUUGCGCUAGGGGCCAUAACUGUUUCAUUAUGUAUGUAUGUAUGUUGAUGCAUGUGAAUGUAUGUUGAUGCAUGUGAGAGACGNNNNNNNNNNNNNNNNNNNNNNNNNNNNNNNNNNNNNNNNNNNNNNNNNNNNNNNNNNNNNNNNNNNNNNNNNNNNNNNNNNNNNNNNNNNNNNNNNNNNNNNNNNNNNNNNNNNNNNNNNNNNNNNNNNNNNNNNNNNNNNNNNNNNNNNNNNNNNNNNNNNNNNNNNNNNNNNNNNNNNNNNNNNNNNNNNNNNNNNNNNNNNNNNNNNNNNNNNNNNNNNNNNNNNNNNNNNNNNNNNNNNNNNNNNNNNNNNNNNNNNNNNNNNNNNNNNNNNNNNNNNNNNNNNNNNNNNNNNNNNNNNNNNNNNNNNNNNNNNNNNNNNNNNNNNNNNNNNNNNNNNNNNNNNNNNNNNNNNNNNNNNNNNNNNNNNNNNNNNNNNNNNNNNNNNNNNNNNNNNNNNNNNNNNNNNNNNNNNNNNNNNNNNNNNNNNNNNNNNNNNNNNNNNNNNNNNNNNNNNNNNNNNNNNNNNNNNNNNNNNNNNNNNNNNNNNNNNNNNNNNNNNNNNNNNNNNNNNNNNNNNNNNNNNNNNNNNNNNNNNNNNNNNNNNNNNNNNNNNNNNNNNNNNNNNNNNNNNNNNNNNNNNNNNNNNNNNNNNNNNNNNNNNNNNNNNNNNNNNNNNNNNNNNNNNNNNNNNNNNNNNNNNNNNNNNNNNNNNNNNNNNNNNNNNNNNNNNNNNNNNNNNNNNNNNNNNNNNNNNNNNNNNNNNNNNNNNNNNNNNNNNNNNNNNNNNNNNNNNNNNNNNNNNNNNNNNNNNNNNNNNNNNNNNNNNNNNNNNNNNNNNNNNNNNNNNNNNNNNNNNNNNNNNNNNNNNNNNNNNNNNNNNNNNNNNNNNNNNNNNNNNNNNNNNNNNNNNNNNNNNNNNNNNNNNNNNNNNNNNNNNNNNNNNNNNNNNNNNNNNNNNNNNNNNNNNNNNNNNNNNNNNNNNNNNNNNNNNNNNNNNNNNNNNNNNNNNNNNNNNNNNNNNNNNNNNNNNNNNNNNNNNNNNNNNNNNNNNNNNNNNNNNNNNNNNNNNNNNNNNNNNNNNNNNNNNNNNNNNNNNNNNNNNNNNNNNNNNNNNNNNNNNNNNNNNNNNNNNNNNNNNNNNNNNNNNNNNNNNNNNNNNNNNNNNNNNNNNNNNNNNNNNNNNNNNNNNNNNNNNNNNNNNNNNNNNNNNNNNNNNNNNNNNNNNNNNNNNNNNNNNNNNNNNNNNNNNNNNNNNNNNNNNNNNNNNNNNNNNNNNNNNNNNNNNNNNNNNNNNNNNNNNNNNNNNNNNNNNNNNNNNNNNNNNNNNNNNNNNNNNNNNNNNNNNNNNNNNNNNNNNNNNNNNNNNNNNNNNNNNNNNNNNNNNNNNNNNNNNNNNNNNNNNNACCUGUUCCUGAAGAGGAACCUCCUAGUUCUGCACCUAAGGCAGAAAGAGAUGCUUAUAAGAAGCAUGUCGAUGAUGCCAAUGAAACUGCUUGUCUCAUGCUAGCUACCAUGAACUCAGAGUUGCAAAAGCAACAUGAGAACAUGGCAGCGUUCGAUAUGAUCGAACACCUGAAGAUGCUCUAUCAAGAGCAAGCAAGGCAUGAAAGGUUUGAAGUUUCAAAAGCCCUUUUUCAAGGCAAGUUAGCUGAGGGAGCCCCUGUAGGUCCCCAUGUGCUCAAGAUGAUUGGGUAUGUGGAAAACCUUGAGAGGUUAGGUUUUCCCCUCGAAAAGGAACUUGCGACUGAUUUGAUCUUGCAAUAGUUUCCAGAUAGAUUCAGUUAAUUUGUCCUAAAUUUCAAUAUGAAUGAUAUUGACAAAUCUCUUCCUGAACUGCUAGCCAUGUGAAGAACUGUUGAGCAGAAUCUGAAGUCAAAAGGGAAGUCCAUUCUGAUGAUCAGAAACGGAAAGAGACAGAACAAAAGACCCACCAAGCAGGGUGAUAAAGGGAAAGGCAAGGAAGUUGCCAAACCCAAACCCACUGUUUCUGCUUUGAAUCCUAGUGGAGGCAUAGCAAAGGAGGGCACCUGCUUCCAUUGCGGUAAGACCGGACACUGGAAGAGAAACUGCCCAAAGUACCUGGAAGGUAAGAAGAAUGGAGUAGAGACUUCAACUUCAGGUAUUUUUGUUAUUGAAAUUAAUUUAUCUACUUCUGCAUCAUCGGUAUUAGAUAUUGGAUGCGGUUCUCACAUUUAUACCAAUGUGCAGGUGCUAAAAAGGAAUAGAGAUUUGGCAAAAGGUGAAGUUGACCUACGAGUUGGCAAUGGAGCAAAGGUUGCUGCUUUAGCCCUAGUGGUUUAAUAAUUCAGUUAGAGAACUGUUAUUAUGUACCUGCAAUUAGCAGGAAUAUUAUUCUUGUUUCUUGUUUGGACAAGUUUGGUUUUUCAUUUAUAAUAAAGAACAAUUGUUGCUCAAUUUGUUUGAAUGAUAUAUUCUAUGCUACUGCACAAAUGAACAAUGGACUAUAUGUCCUUGAUCUUGAAAUGCCUAUUUAUAACAUUAAUACUAAAAGGAUGAAACCUAAUGAGCUAAAUCCAACUUACCUUUGGCAUUGUCGAUUAGGCCACAUAAAUGAGAAACACAUUUCCAAACUCCANAUGAUGCCAAUGAAACUGCUUGUCUCAUGCUAGCUACCAUGAACUCAGAAUUGCAAAAGCAACAUGAGAACAUGGCAGCGUUCGAUAUGAUCGAACACCUGAAGAUGCUCUAUCAAGAGCAAGCAAGACAUGAAAGCUUUGAAGUUUCAAAAGCCCUUUUUCAAGGCAAGUUAGCUGAGGGAGCUCCUGUAGGUUCCCAUGUGCUCAAGAUGAUUGGGUAUGUGGAAAACCUUGAGAGAUUGGGUUUUCCCCUCGGAAGGGAACUUGCGACUGAUUUGAUCUUGCAAUCGUUGCCAGAUGGAGUCAGUCAAUUUGUCCUAAAUUUCAAUAUGAAUGAUAUGGACAAAUCUCUUCAUGAACUGCUAGCCAUGUUAAGAACUGCUUAGCAGAAUCUGAAGACAAAAAGGAAGUCCAUUAUGAUGAUCAGAAAUGGAAAGAGACAGAACAAAAGGCCCACCAAGCAGGGUGAUAAAGGGAAGGGCAAGGAAGUUUCCAAACCCAGACCCAUUGUUGCUACUUUGAAGCCUAGUGGAGGCAUAACAAAGGCAGGCACCUACUUCCAUUGCGGUAAGACCGGACACUGGAAGAGAAACUGCCCAAAGUACUUGGAAGAUGACAAAAUCUCCAUUCACAGGAAAAGGUGAAAUAGCUAAUGAUCUUUUGGCCCUCAUACAUACUGAUGUAUGUGGACCACUGAACAUUCCAGCCAGAGGAGGUUUUCAGUACUUCAUUUACCGAUGAUUUCAGUAGAUAUGGUUAUGUGUAUUUAAUGAAACACAAAUUAGAGUCCUUUGAAAAGUUCAAGGAAUUCAAGAAUGAAGUACAAAACCAACUAGGUAAGAAUAUUAAAACUCUUCAAUCAGAUCGAGGUGGUGAAAUAAAUUCGGAUCUCAAACUACUGGUAGACUUUGAGUGUGGGAUCCUAUCCCAACUUACUCUUCCUGGAACACCCCAAUGGAAUGGUGUAUCUGAGAGAAGAAAUCGAACCCUGUUAGAAAUGGUCUGAUCCAUGAUGAGUCACGCCGAUCUUCCAAACUCCUUUUGGGGACAUGCACUAUUGACAUCAUAGUUCUUCUCCCUACAGACCCAUGAUGAAUGGGGUUGUUGAAGCUGCGAAUAAGAAUAUAAAGAAGAUUAUCCAAAAAAUGGUUGUCACGUAUAAGGAUUGGCAUGAGAUGCUCCCAUUUGCUUUGCAUGGGUAUCGUACAUCCAUCUGCACUUCAACAGGGGUAACCCCUUUAUCUCUUGUAUAUGGUAUGGAAGCAGUGCUCCCCGUAGAGGUUGAGAUUCCUUCAUUGCGUGUGCUCAUGGAAGCCAAGUUGAUUGAAGAUGAAUGGUGUCAGACCAGGUUUGACCAGUUGAAUUUAAUUGAAGAGAAGAGAUUAACUGCCAUCUGUCAUGGUCAGUUAUAUUAGCAGAGAAUGAAAAAAGCUUUUGAUAAGAAGGUCAAAUCUCGAGUGUUUAAAGAAAGUGACCUUGUGCUCAAGAAGAUUUUUACAUUCAAGUUGGAUUCCAGAGGAAAAUGGACUCCCAAUUAUGAAGGCCCAUAUGUUGUUAAGAGAGACUUUUUAGGCGGUGCUUUGAUUCUUACAAUAAUGGAUGGUGAAGAGUUCACUCGUCCUGUGAACGCAAAUGUAGUCAAGAAAUACUUCGCCUAAAAAAGAAAAGAACAACUCGCUAAGUUGAAAACCUGAAAGGGCGGCUUAGGCAAAAAUGAGCGUCUCGGUGGAUUGAAAACCCGAAAGGGCGAUCCAGGCAAAAAUUAGAGACAUAAAACAGAAAGAAUUUCCCGAUAAGUUGAGUACCCCACCUUGGGGAAAGCGGCUUAGGCAAAAAUGAGCGUCUCGGUGGAUUGAAAACCCGAAAGGGCGAUCCAGGCAAAAAUUAGAGACAUAAAACAGAAAGAAUUUCCCGAUAAGUUGAGUACCCCACCUUGGGGAAACUUAUACAAAAAUUAGGGAUUAUGGCAAGUAACUGCAUUCUGCUGAUCUUCAGUGAUUUUGAAGGCUUGUUUGAGCACAAAGGGUUGACAUCGAUUCAUUACCCCAACAGCGGUCAAGAGCACAAUGGAUAUCAAGAGUUGGUAGAAGGAAUAAGGAUCAUUUGUAUUCAAUGUAACCCUUUUCCAUGUAAAUUACCAUUUUCAACUUCGUAAAAAUCUAUGGAGUCUUGUCAUUUACAGACUACCAUUCCAUUAAAUAAAGUUGAGCUUUUAUCCAAUUAUUUCUAAUCUUAUUUACUUCAGCCAAUAGUUUUAAAUUUUAUUAUGAUCAUUUUGAAAUAAAAAAUUUAAAUCAAAAUCAAGUUUUCUUUAAUAUAUAAAAGCAAGAAUUUUUCCAAAGCAAGUUAAAAGGAAUAUCAACAGCAUUUCAAGGAAUAACAAGUCCUUAAGGGUGAAACAUCAGAGGUUCCCCAAGCAGUUAACCCUUCGGGUAUCCCUAGACAUUAGUGUUGAUUCAGUUCCUCGGUGGAGUGUUCGAUCCUCAGUGGAAUUUCUUUGUCCCCAGCUGAUUUGGUUGAUUCAGAUACCCUGUGGCGUGUUGUUUUCUCCGACAGAGUUUCUGCCUUCCCCAACGAAGUUUGUAUUUCCUCAGCAGGGUGGAUCUUCAGAGAUGGUUGAUCUUCCCCGAUGGAUCGCUUUGGUUUCCCCACCAAUCACCAUUCAAUUUGCUCCCAGUCAGAGUUUCCUCCUGGUUUCUGAGCAGCUUUUCUUAUUGAUUAUUCUCUGUAGGGUUGUCUCCCAUUUUUAUGGUGUUGACCUAAAAUUCCCCAAAGAGUUGAUAUUGUUCUAUCCUCAGCAGAUCUCCUCCUUCCCCGGUUAGGUUUGAACCUUUGGGAUGUUGAUCUCUCUGUUCUCCAGCAGUUGUCUCCAUGUUUUGUGGAUUGACCGAGGAUUGUACCAGUGGUUUAAUUUCUUUGCGACACCUUUGUAUCCUUUGUGAUCAUUUUGUCAGCAUAAUCAUCAUAUAUACAUAUACAUACACAUUCAUAUAAUUUCAUAAUUUGCAUAUCUCGCAUAUUCAUAUUUGAUUUAUUUGAGAUUCUUAUGGCGGUAUUUUAUCCCCAUACCAAAUCUGGUGUCUGUCCUCCUUCAAUUAUAGAGUGUCAUCCCCUUAAGCAGAAAGACUUUAACCUUUCUCCGUUUCCCCACUGAGUUUGUUACCUCAUGGACUGUUGUUAUUUUAGUUUCCUUUCCAGUGAAUUUUCUGGAUGGAAUUACUCCCAUUGAGUUAUGUCCUCACUGGGAUGGGUCUUUAUUGGCCAUUUUCUUUCUAGCUCUUACCUAGAUAGAUGCUUUGGUCCCCUAAGAGUCUAUUACCCAGUAACUGGUAAUAUUCUUCUUAGUUUGCAGUUUGUUACUUCUUGCCUAAUACCCAAAAAAAAGUACCCUUAUCUUUCUCCUCAGUAGAGUCCCCAGUGGGUCUAUUCCCCAGGAAGUAUAUCCUUGAUAUGUUCAUCCUAACCGGUGACGGAUAUUUUUCCUUCCCCUGCCUGAGUCUAUCCUUGAUAUGUUCACUUUAACCAGUGACGGAUAUUCUCAUUUUUGGUAUUCUACCCAGUAAAAAGGUAGUUGUAAUCCCUAUUUUGUUCCUCAGAGAGUUAAUAGAUAUGUUCACUUUAACCAGUGACGGAUAUUCUCAUUUUUGGUAUUCUACCCAGUAAAAAGGUAGUUGUAAUCCCUAUUUUGUUCCUCAGAGAGUUAAUCCUUGAUAUGUUCAUCUUAACCGAUGACAAAUUUUCUUCUCCUUGUGGUUUUCUACCCAGUAAUCGGUAGUUGUAAAUCCUGCUUUAUCUCCUUUUCAGAGUCUAUCCUUGAUAUGUUCAUCUUAAUCGGUGACGGAUUUUCUCUUUGAUUGGUCUUCUACCCAGUAACCGGUAGUUGUAAAUCCUACUUUGUCCCCUCGCAGAGUUAAUCCUUGAUAUGUUCAUCCUAACUGGUGACGGAUUUUCUCUCUGACGGUUUUCUAUCCAACUUUCGAUAGAUGUAAUUCCUACCCUUUUUGUUCAGUUGGUAUAUCCUUGAUAUGUUCAUCCUAACCGAUGACGGGUAUCCUCCUUGGCAUUUCCAGACAAGUCUAUCCUUGAUAUGUUCAUCUUAACCGGUGACAGAUUUUCUUCCCUGUUGAGUUUAUCCUUGAUACGUUCAUCCUAACCGAUGACGGAUACUCUCUCCCUUGGUCUUCUGCCCAGUAACUGGUAGUUGUAAAUCCUAUAUUUUCUGCAGUUUUUCCCAGCAAGGCUAUUCUUACCCAGUAACCGGUAAUGAAUUUCCUCUCCUGGAAUCCUCAGCGAGUCAUCCUUGAUAUGUUCAUCCUAACCGAUGACGAAUGUUCUCUCUGUCAGAUCUUUAUUAUCUCAUUAUCUAGUAACAGGUAGUAGAUAAUAGAUUUCGGUUCCUCCUGUGUUUAAGUUUUUCUUCCCCAGUCGAGUUGAGUGCGUAUUUCCUUAGUGAAAUCGCUUUUCUUUCAUGAGUCGAGUAUUUCAGUUUUAUCCAUACUUACUCGUAUCCCCUGCAGAUGUUAUUAUUCCCUGGCUGAGUCUUUUCCAUGUUUGUAUGGAAUCUCUUGAGUCUCCCCAGUAGAUUUAAGUCGUAGCCUGGCCUACGCAUAACUCCUUUUUCCCUAGAGUCUCUGUCUCCCCAGUGAGUUUUCCUUACGAAAUGCAUUGUGCUCCUACGGAUUUUUGGUCUCUCUGAUUUCUUUUUCCUUUGUGGCAAUAUUUCCCCACAGAGCAUUAACUUUUGCAUUCAUGUCAUAUGCAUCAUGAGGUCUCUUAGGGACCAAAAUUUGUUUCUUUAUGUUGUUAUUUAAGCCCAUUCUACUGAGUCGACAUGAAGAUUUUUACCUUCGCCUCCUCAGUUAUAAUGUCCUUAAAUAGGGGCAGCUGUAAGACCCCAAUUUUGACCCUAAGAUCCCUCAUGUAGUUUCAUCAUAAGCAUUAGCAUUGGGCUCAUACCUUGGCAUCCUCCUUACCCCUCUUUCAUUGGGUUUGUUUUGGGAGAGAUCACCAAGCACUUUGUGAUUGUAUCAUACUUGUAUUUUAUGUAAAGUGAUUGGUUUUAUAGUUUUUAUACAGAUUGCAUUUGCCUAACUCUUUUGUAGGAAGGGCAUGAUCUCCAUUGAUCUAUCAAGUUCACAUCUAGGGUUUGAGACCCUCAUGAACAAAGAGCAUAACCAAGAAUUGAUUCAAGAAUGGUUAUGAACAUCAUAUAUGAGUCUCAAUUUUCUCUACAUGUUAUAUUGAUCAAGUUUUCUUCAAGAGUUUGAGGGUGAUUUGCCUUGGAAACCCUAGUUUGAUUGGGUAUCUUGAGUAACUUCUCCAACAAGCUAUCUCACCAACUGAUCAAAUUUCUCAAGGGAUACUUCAAAUUUCAUCAUCUUAUGCAUAUAUGAUCUAACAUGAGCCAAGAAAGUCAAGAUAAUUGGAAGUUAGCAAGUUGGUUGAUGGUGGUUGGCCAGAUGGAUUCAUCUGAUCAAAACUGGGUCUCCCUAGACCCUAUGUCCUACAAUUUUCACCAUAUGAAAAUUAUUCCAAGAGAAAACUUACUCUAAAUAACAUUCCAAACAAGUUUCAUGUUGAGACCUAGAUCUAGUUUUGCUUUGAAAAUCAUUUUCUAUAUUGAAACAUUAUAGGUUAUUUUGUCUAAACCCUAAUUUGAAAGUCAACUUCCCAAGACCAUAACUUGCUCAAUUUUUAUGAGAUGAAAUAUUUCCAAGUUUCAUAAUCAAAUUCAAUGUGUCUACUUCAACUUUGUUGUUUGAAGUGGGAGCUAAUUCAAAUUGUUUGAGCAUGUGAUAUGAGGUUACAUUAUAGGUCACUUUUGACCUAUACCAUUGAUCAAGUGAUUUUUCCAAACUUCAAAAAUGCACAACUCUAUCAUUUUAAAUCCAAAUGACAUGGAAUUGCUGACCAUUUUGAAGGUAUUUGAGAGAGCUACAAGUUUAAUGAAAACACCUUUCUCAUUUGAAGCUCAUAUAAAAAGUUAAGCAAGGUGGAACAUUGAGACAUAUGACUUGACACUUAGAAAAAUUUUGAUAUGUCAAAAAUUUCCAAACUUCCACCUCAAAUUUCUCCAAGUUGCAAGCUCCAAAUGAAAAAGUAUUGAACAUGAAAGUUGUUCCUCUUGAUCUCACUUUGACAAAAAGCUCAAAUUCAUUCAUUUUGGACAAGGAAUGCAUAGGUUGUGCAUGGCAUGAACAUGGUGACAUCACUUGGCAAGGAUCAAACUUCAAAUCCAAAUGCACAAUUGCCUUGCAAUCCAAGCUGAAUUCAGACUAUCUAACAUUCAUUUGGGGACUUAUGGCAAUGAUUUUAUGGGCUUAUGCGCGCCCAUGCACCCAUGCAUCAUCAAUGACCAAAUUUGGAAAGUGAUUUCAAGUUUGCAAAUAUCAAUGGUUUCAGCUAUAAAUAGAGCCUCAUAUGCUCAACAAUCAACACACAUUCGCGCCAGCUUUGAUCCCCCAUCUCAAACCCUCACUUUGCAAAGGAUAAACUUGAGAAAUUCAUUUGAAUUUAAGGUUGAAUUUCCACUGUUUUGAAAUUCAAAUCUCCAGGAAUCCACAACCUUGUAAGCAUCCAAUACUUCUUCUGCAAGAAAGUGGAGUGAGAUCAAGCACAAGCAAGAUCAAGAUCAGUUGAAUCCAGACCUCCAUUGAAGGUAUUUUUUAGAAAUUUUGAUCUCUUCGAUUCUCUCAAAUUCUUGCUCAAUUCUAAACUAAGAAACCAACAGACUUCAGGAUGGUUACAUCGCAAGAAGAUUGAGUUGCUUUGAGGCCAAAUCGAAGCAACUCAGUUCAUGUACCUCAAAUUUCAACUCCAUGUAUCUCUCAAUAUACUUGAGUUAGAGUGAAUUGAGGCCAGAUUCGAGCUCAGUUCCAUUUUUACUUUGAAAUCAUGUCCUUGUUUUUAAUUUUGGUGAUGGUUGAUGGUGGACCAGUCCGGUGAGGUCCACCGGAGAAGAAGAUCGGAGCUAUAGCUCCGGCCAUGCGCUGGCAUGUCUCACAACCACAUGAUCCUCUUGUUUUGUUUUAAUCACGAUCGUCCCUUUUAAAUACCAAUGUUGUGGCACGCUGACUCAUGUCCAUCGUGGAUAGCGCGUUUCUGGCCACUUGAUCUGCCACCUCAAUUAAUAAGGGAGAUCAAGUGGUCCACGUUUUUUCUGAUAUUUUAAUUGCAUUAUUUUCAACAAUUCAUAUUAAAUUCAAUAUUGAUCCAAAAAAUAUGGGAUUUUCACCAAAAAAAUUCAAAUAUUUUUCUCUUUCAUAUUAUGAAUUAAAAUUAUUUUUUGGAUCAUUAUUAAUAUUUUUCAUGAAUUAAUUGAUUUUGCAUUUGUUUUUAAUUGUUUAAAAAUAUUGUUAAAUAUCCAAAAAUUAUGAAAAUUUUUCUCCAAGGUCCUUUGACCUUGUUUGACCUAUGAUAAAUCUCAUGCCCAUUUCUUUGGUGUUUUGAUGAGAUUUUAGGAAUUGGAUAAACCAUAUUUAAUUUAAAUGCACUAUUUUAGUAUUUUUAAUUUGAAUAAAUUCCAAAUAAAUUUGUUGACCAAUUGUGAUGACUUGUUUAUGUUUGAAUCUUGUUGUUGGGCCUUAGUCAAGGUUGAUUUGACUUUGUCAAAUUAAUAUCAUUGGAUUUAGGGGAUUGAUGAAAUGUACAUUCCAUCUCCCAAAAUGAAUGGAUGAUAUUAAUUUGGUAAAAGUCCUCCUUUGACCAAUUUGUGUUUUGAUCCAUUCCCCUCCCACUUCAUCUUAUCCCCUUUCUUCAUUCAUUCAUUCCAUUUGGCCCGUGACAUCUCAAAGUCCUAAUGCUAAUUGAUUGAAAAGUUGACAUGAGUAUGGAUAAGAUUAGGUCACACCUUUUGCAUAUUCUUUUUGUGUGUGGUAUGUUUCAUGAGCAUAGUCCAUUAUAUUAUGUCUCUAACAUGCAUUAACACCAAAAUUCUAUUGUCCGACCUCAAAUAGUUGUGCCUUCUACAUAAGUCCAAUUACGAUUGCUUAACAUAGCGCUAAAUUUGUGACAUAAAAGGCAUAAGCAUUCUAGUUAGUGAGAUUGUAAGUCUCCCCUCCUUUAUGGUAUUGUGUGGAAACUUUGCCUUCUUUCCUUCCUUUGGAAGAUGUUUUGGCUCAAGGAUUCAUGCUUGUGAUAAGUGGGUUGAGUAUUCUCCAAAGAAUGUCUUGAAAUGAAAAGCAAAAGCAAAACAAUACUAACUUCUAACCAAUUAACUACUAACUUUUAAUUUCAAGCUUUUACUUUAAUGCAAUUUACUUUUAGCACUCUAUUUCAUUUCCCAUUGUUCAUAUCAUUAUAAUUGUUCAUGUUAAUGCAAUUUUCACUUUGUCCAUUUGGACCAUAUUGUGUGAUAUAUUUUGUUUGUGUAUACUUUGCUUGUUUGUGUGGUCUUUGACCAUUAAUGUACAUAAUAAUAACAAAAACCCUAAAAAACUUUUGAGUGGACUGUUGGCUUGAUCUUGGACAAAUGGACUUAGAAUCUAGGCAACCUUCCUAUGCUAAAGGACUUGGCCAAUGCCAACUUAUUGAGAAACCAAGUGCUUGCAAUUUGAAACUUCAUCUGAUACAUCAUUCAAGAUCUCUCUAAGUUCAUCUGCAACAUGAUCAUUGUGAAGCUGUUAUUUUGAACCUGUGACUUGUGGAAUUCAUCUGUUACAUGGGCUAUUUUGAAGAAGAUCAUGGAAUGGAUAAGCUUGGAUGUGGCCAUCUUUAUUUGAUGCCUUGCUCUUCAAGAUAAUAUAAUUGUGCAUUUGUGUGUUGCUUGAUUCUAAAAGUCCAAGGGAAUUCUGGGUUUCUAUUGACAUACUUGUCUAUUGGAUUGCUACCCAUUUGGUCAGAUCUUUUCAACUCUAAACUUUUAAAUUUUGUGCAUAGGGUAGUCUCUUCAUCUUCUCCCCAUUUCUUUAAUUUCAAAAUCUCUCUCUCUAUUUUCAAAAUCUUCUUUGUGUGAACUACUUUUGUUCUAAACUUUGACCACUUUGGCAAAAAGAUAGAAACUUUGGCCUUAUGCCAUUGCAUUUUCAAACUUAUUUUCUUAAAUCAAACUUGUAAAUAAACUUAACUAUACUUGACUUAAACUUUCAAAAAGCCAAAAAGAACUAACUCAUUCAAACCAUUUUUAGGCCUUUGUGCCUUUCAAACUUAAUUUUUGUUAAAAGCAAUGCAUCCACUUUGAAAUUUGUAUCACGAAUUACGAGGUUUUGAUCCCUCAUUUUUAUGUUGGUACGUAGGCACAAGACCGAAGGUCUUGUCAAACACAAAAAUAUAAUUAAUGAAUUCUUUUCUCAUCCCCCCAUUCUAUUUGUUUGUAAACAUCACUUUGUACAAAAUACAUAUGCACACAAAAAGGGCUCCCUAGGAGUACCUAGGACACUUUGGGUGCUAACACCUUCCCUCUGUGUAACCAACCCCCUUACCUGUGAUCUCUGACUUUUAUUAGUUUUUAUUUGAAAACUUCUUACUAUUUGGGUUUUGUUCGUACUUUUUCCCUUUUCCCUUGGAAACAAUAAAAGCGCGGUGGCGACUCUUGUUAUUUGAUCUCUAGCUUAUCCAUAGCUUGAUGAUCAUGAAUUUACCGCUACAGAAAUUAAGUGGCGACUCUGUUGGGGAGUAGUCUCCAGUGGGUUUAGCCUACUUUUUGUGUGUAUAUAUUUGUAUAUAUGUGAUGUUUGUAUAUAUGUAUGUGUGAUAUAAUCUGCUUGUUGUGCUUGGUGAUCUCUGAGUGGUGAGAUAAGUUCUAACCCGAACUUGAGUGCAAUUAAGAUAGGAGGAUGGUAUAGUCAUGUUCGACUUGUGUGGAGUAGUCCUUAACAAGUUGGCUUGAGAUCCAUCUGCUCAGUGGAGACUCUUUUGGAUUUGGAAAUGUCACACAAGUAUUUGUGGUUAGGCAUUACUAUCUCUAAUUUGGGUCCGAGAAGCUGAGGACCGUAGAACAUUUACCCCCUCUUGGCCUAUUUAGGACGUAGUGCGGAAACUGUUCAAGUGUAGACUUGAUAACAGUUGUUACGCGAUACUACACUCAGACGAGUUUCUCUUGAGAAUAUUAUGGGUCGAUGAGUCAGUCAUCUUAACCUGUAAUAUCCGAUAGAUGGAAUUAAGACUCUGGGAACUUUUUAGAACAUGAUCUACAGGUUUUUAUCCUUAGUUCACUCCUUUGGGAUGGUUCUUACCCAGACUCCAUGCUCGUGACUUACAACAAACCCUUGAUUCUUGGUUGAUCCAAUCAAGUCUUGUCAAUAUCAAUGGAACUUGGGUGUUGAUAAGGUGUAAACCAUAAUCCACCAAAAUGGAUGAUUGAUCUUGACAAUGACUUGAUUCAUCCCUUGACCUUUGUUUGCCUUGUGUGUGAUCCCUUAUUUGUGAUUGUUGCAUUCAUGCAUUCAUGCGCAUCAUAACAUUCAUCACACGAAAAUUUCAAGGAACUGAGGUAUUAUUUGCAAAUAUUUUCAGACCAUGGAUUAUGGACGAAGGAACACUAAGAAGUACAGUUUCAGAUGUCCCGACUUGAAAGAGUUAAGGAAGCUAGCAUCUUUUGUAUUAGAUCCCUUGGACUUCAAACAACGUCAUGGGAAGCUUCUGUCCAUCUUGUCUGCUGAUGUAGUUGAAGGACUCUUGAGUGUGCUAGUGCAGUUCUAUGUCCUCUCUACCAUUGUUUCACUUUCCCAGAUUUUCAGCUUGUGCCUACCUUGGAGGAGUAUUCUCAUCUUUUUGGGAUACCUAUUUCUAGUAGAAUGCCUUUUAGUGGAUUGGAGGAGAUUCUCCGAUCUAGUAUUAUUGCUGAAGCUCUUGACUUGAAGAAGUCUAAGAUAGAGGCUCAUUGGGUGAAGAAAGGAGGAUUAUUUGGGUUGCCAUCUGUUUUCCUCAUCAAGGAAGCUACUACUUUUUCUCAAGCUGGUAGUAUGGAUGCUUUUGAAGCUAUACUUGUGUUGCUCAUUUAUAUAUUAACUUUGUUCCCUAACAUUGACGGUUUUGUUGAUGUUAACGCCAUUAGACUUUUCUUGAUUAGGAAUCCUGUGCCUACUUUGUUGGGUGAUAUGUAUUUCUCUUUGCAUCUAAGGAAUUCUAAGGGUGGUAGAACGAUUGUCUGUUGCGUUCCUCUUCUGUACAAGUGGUUUAUUUCGCACUUACCUCAGACACCUGCUUUUCUAGAGAACAAACAAUGUCUAAGGUGGUCUCAGAGACUUAUGUCUCUCACUAAUGAUGAUAUAGUUUGGUAUGAUCCGUCUUUAAGCAGUUUGAAGAUUGAUAGUUGUGGUGAAUUCUCUAAUGUGCCUUUCAUUGGUACACAAUGGGGAAUUAACUAUAACCCUGCUUUGGCUCAUCGUCAACUUGGGUUCCCCUUGAGAGACAAACCUAAUAACAUGUUGUUAGAAGGUCUUUUCUAUCAAGAGGGUAAAGAUCCCCAACAUUUGAAGUAGAAGAUUGUGCAUGAGGCUCAUCGUCAACUUGGGUUCCCCUUGAGAGACAAACCUAAUAACAUGUUGUUAGAAGGUCUUUUCUAUCAAGAGGGUAAAGAUCCCCAACAUUUGAAGUAGAAGAUUGUGCAUGCUUGGCAUAAUAUGCACAGGAAAGGAAGAUCCGAGCUUGGUCCGUGCAAUUGUGUAGCUUUGGAAGCUUACACUCUUUGGGUGAAGAAGAGAGCUAUGGAGUUGAAGAUGCCCUAUCCUUGUGAAAGACCUAUGUCUAUGGUUGUGGUUGAGCCAUUAACUCUCCCUAAGCAAGAUGUAGAGGAGUUGGAAGACGCGCUCGCCAAGAUGAAGCAAGAGAAGGAUAUGUGGGAAGAGCGUUUCUGUGCUUUGAGAAAGAAGCAUGAAGAGUUGCAAUUGGAGUCUAAGGACAAAGACGCACUUAUCGAGUUACUUGAAGACCGAGUGACGAAGAGACAGAGAGAGCCAGAGGUUUCAUCUUCUAGCAUGCCUCAGCCUUCCGUUGCUUGGAAGAAGAUUGUGGAUCAGCUUGUCCUCGAGAAGAUUUAGAUGAAGGCUUCUUUUGAGACCGAGAUCCGUCGCAUUCGAAGGAAGUACGCGCCUUCAGCCAAAUCUUCUGACAUUGUUGUUAGGGAUCCUUAGGAUGACUAGUCUCCUUUUCUCUUGUAUCUUUUAGAUGAAGGCUUCUUUUGAGACCGAGAUCCGUCGCAUUCGAAGGAAGUACGCGCCUUCAGCCAAAUCUUCUGACAUUGUUGUUAGGGAUCCUUAGGAUGACUAGUCUCCUUUUCUCUUGUAUCUUUUUCAUUUGGUUUCUGAAAUUGUACUCAGUGUAAUCCUUCCAAUUUAUAUAAAUAAAAAGAGAUUUUUGGUCAUAUCAAUUUGUUGCAAUUGGCAUUUAAAUAUUAUAUAUUUGCAAAUGAUAUAGUAAGUUCCUCGAAAAUAAAAAUAAUCAAGCAUUGCAUUUCAUGCAUCAUUUGCAUAAGCAGGUUUUCGUCAGAUGUCUGAUUGGUGUUUCUUCUGUGCUUUAGCCAAGCUGACUCACCGGUACAAUACCCGAGCCAAUCAUCAGAAAAUCAUGGAACAUUUGGAGCAAGAGAAUAGAGAGCUGAAGGACGAGAUCGCCCGUCUGACUGCCAUGAUGGAGUCAGUUCUUGCUGCUCAGAACCAAGCUUCUCCAACACCUGCAACUCCUCCCGCGAGGACUAUUACUUCAGAGGUGACUACCUCUACCAUGCCUGCUGCUAUCGCCCAUUUCACGCUGAAUAUGCCUGCCGGAUUCCCAUGGGAAAUUCCGCCCAACUUUGUGCCCGAAGGAUUUGCGCCUACAUUUGCUUCCAUGUCGGCAUCUAGCCCGGUCAUGUCCGUGCCACCUCCCGAUGUGCACACUUUGCCUCGUGUAGAGGAUACCAUCUAUCAUUCCGAGUCGUCUGAGGGUCCGGAUGUUUAUGAGAAGAUGGACGAAAUGAAAGAUCAGUUUCUUGAGUUGCGCAAGGAAUUGAAGACGCUGAGAAGUAAAGAUUUGUUUGGGAAGAGUGCUGUCGAGUUGUGUUUGGUACCCAAUGUCAAAAUCCCAGUGAAGUUCAAAGGGCCUGACUUUGAAAAAUAUAAGGGGAACUCUUAUCUGCUCAGUCAUCUUGUGAUGUAUGCUCGCAAGAUGUCUAUCUAGACAGAUAAUGAUCAAUUUCUUAUUCACUACAUUCAAGAUAGUUUAACUGGUGCUGCACUCCGUUGGUACAUGGGGUUGGAUAGUGCAAGCAUUCGCACUUUCAACGACUUGGGAGAGGCUUUUGUGAAGCAAUACAAGUAUAAUAUGGACAUGGCGCCAGAUAGAGACCAGUUGAGGUCUAUGUCUCAGAAGGACAAAGAGACAUUUAAAGAGUACGCGCAAAGAUGGAGGGAGUUGGCUGCCCAGAUCACUCCUCCUUUGGAGGAGAAAGAAAUGACAAAAAUCUUCUUGAAAACUCUAAGUUCAUUUUAUUAUGAACGCAUGAUCGCUAGUGCCCCUAGUGAUUUUACCAAAAUGGUAAACAUGAGGAUGAAACUUGUGGAAGGAGUCCGUGAGGGACAGUUGUCAAAAGAUGAGGCGUCAACAAGCAAGAGACAUGGAAGAAACUUUGGUAAGAAGAAGGAUAGUGAGACCAACGCAGUAAUCAGUGGAAGGCAGAAGAGGCCUCAGAUCAGAAGAAAUCCACCACCCCGUCAACAUCAUCAUCAUCAAGUGUCAUCAGUAAUUCCGGUAUUUUCUAAUCAACAAGCAACACCAAUUCAACAACAACAACAAUAUCAACGUCAACAACAACAACCGCAAUAAAGAACGAACCCCUACAACAAGAACAAUACCAACAACAAUCAUCAUUAGCAGAAUUUCGAGAGGAAGAAGGUCUCUUUUGACCCAAUUCCUAUGUCAUAUGCAGAGUUGUAUCCUUCGCUAGUUCUCAAGAACUUAAUUCAACCAAGAAACCCACCGCAGAUCCCAAAACCACUUCCCUGGUGGUAUAAACCUGAGCUCCGUUGUGCUUUUCAUCAAGGAGCACCCGGACACGAUAUUGAAAAUUGCUAUCCAUUGAAGUAUGAGGUUCAAAAGCUUAUGAAGAGUGGUAUGGUGUCCUUUGAGGACCGCGUGCCAAAUGUUAAAACAAACCCUUUGCCCGCUCAUGGGAACUCUUCGGUGACUAUGGUGGACGGUUGUCCUGGAGAAUUCAAGGUUUUUGACGUCCGGUUUAUCCGAAGAUCUUUGGUGCAGAUGCACAAGGAUAUCUGUUUGGUGAGUGACUGUGAACAUGACCAUGAUGGUUGUGUUGUGUCAUACCCCAAUUUUGUCUGGGCAUUUUAAAAAUUUCAUAAAUUCGAUUUUUAUUUCAAUUUGCAUCAGUUGUACAACAUAACAUGCAUUUCAUCAUUAAUAAUAUCUAAAACAUCAAUCGGAAUAAAUUCUUGAAAAUACAGACAAUUUGGUUAAAUCAUUCCUCAAGUACAUGCAAAAUCAGCGGAUAAAAAGUUUCAAAAUUAAACUUGCAGACGCCAGUAUUAUUAAUCUACGGUCCGCGUAGUUCAGCCUGGUGUGCUCGUUAUAUUUUUCGACGACUUUUUCAGCUGCAUUUUAAUUCGUCUGAGCCUUUCAACCGGUGAAAAUUUAUUUUAAAAUUAAAAGAAACGCUGUAUUUUUUCAAUAAGUAUAUUUCGUGCUGAUCAUUUUAGUGCAUCCGAUUUAAUUUUUUGAAUAAAUUUAUAUCUGACUUCUAUUUAUAAUCAAUCAUUUUAUUUUUUUGUUCAAAUUUUCAAAUUAAACGAUUAGAGAUUUUUUUAUUUAUCUAAUUUAAAAUAUUGAUUAGAAAUUUAUAAUAACCAUAUUUUAUUUAAUAAUAAAUAAUAAUGAUUGUUUUCAAAAAAUAAAAUAAAGUUUAUACAUUGGAUUCCUUGUGAAAUUGCCAGCUGGUGCCACCAAUUACUCCAACGGAUCUCUCACUAAAAACAAAAAAAAAUACAAAAAGAGGAAGCUAACAAAUAGGUGACUCUCGAUCGACUGCUCUAGCUCUCUCUGAAAAGAAAAAUAAAGAAAAGAGGAUGGUUCCUCUUCUUUCUCAAUACCUCUCUCUCACUUUCUUACUAUCUGAAAAAAAAACAAAAAUAAAAAAGGAUUAAAGAUGAACCACUGUUCAUCUUCCUAACAACAACCCGUAACCACCGCGAAACCCAUCAUGAAACCUCCGUUUCCUCCUUUUCACACCUCCUUCGCUCCGCCGCAUCAACCUUCUUCAAACACACACAUUACCGGCGAACCGACCCCUCUCCGAACACAACAACCAUAACUCCAUAAAUUUUCGUCGCCGCCGCGAAAAACUUCUGCAACAAAAUAUCAACCGCGCAUCACCGACUCCUUCUGCCGUGAUUCACAACCGAUGACUCCUUUUUCUCCACAUCCUCCGUCUACGCGCAUAUCCAACACCUUGCAUCCACUACAAUCCCACACGGCCAAGAUAUCGUACCACCAUCUCCGAACUCAAUCUCCAAGGUGGUUUUCUUUUUAACUUUAAAAUUUGAGUUGUUUUGUGAUUUGUUUUGUUUAUGUUUUAAUUAUUCUUCUUUGAUUUGGAAUUGGAGAGAGAUUGGAUGAAACAAAGUAUGGAUUUUGUUUUAUUUCAAAUGAUCAUUGUUGUUGUUGAUUGCUGUUGAGAGAAAGGAGAGUGUGAGUUUUUUUAUCUUUUUUUUUCCGUUUGAAAUAAAAAGAAGAAGCUUUGUUCUUCUUUAUUUUUCUGAAAGAAAGAUCUGUUGCAUUGGUGGUUUCAUUUUAAAGAUGAUGUUGUUUCUCAUUUAUUAGUUUUAUUUGUGAAAUUUUAAAAUAGUUGAAAAAAUCUACUAGAUUUCAUUUUACUGUUUUUUAUAAAUAAGAGGAGCAUAUACGGUUUUCUUGAAGGAGGAGAAAUGUGUGGAAAUAGAGUUUGUUCAUUUUAGAUCUAGGUUUCUUUCUUUAAUAAUGGACAAUAAUAUUAUUUAGUAAUGUUUGAAAAGGUCAUAAUCAUGUUAUUUACUGUUUUUGAAGAGAGAUGGAAACAUGGGAGAGAGCUUUGUGGGGAAGAAACUUUUCUUUAAUUUCAUGUUUAGAAGGGUGAUUUGAGUGAAAUAGAGGAUGUUGGUUUCUUAGAUUUUUGUUUCUUUCUCUAAAUUGCCAAGUGAUAAUUUGGAUAUGGCUAAUGUUUUUUUUGAGAAAAGUAAUGCUAGGCCUUAGGGGCGUCGCCCCAAUUGUAUAUAUUAAAUUCUUGCUCAUUUAUUUUAUUUAUCUAUUUAUUUAUUUUACUCAUUAAGGUUUAAUUUUAAAUUAUGGUUAGUGUUAAUUAUUGGGUUGGAUUCAAUUUAUUUUUUACACCCCAUGGUCAUGUAUACACUCUUACUAUUUCUUUGUACUAUUUUCUUCUUGAUUCGACUAAUAGUAAAUUAAUUGAUUAGUUUUUUAAUUGAUUUGCUGAUUACGAUACUUAUUAAUUAUUUUAUUUUUCUUUGCAAAAGUAGGUUAUUGUGAUUAUUUUACUUAGUCGAUUUCAAUGUGUUAAUCUUUUAAUUAGAUAAUCUUUAUCCAUAUCAUAAGAUUGCACAUGUAAA